GAUGAAGAACGCAGCGAAAUGCGAUAAGUAAUGUGAAUUGCAGAAUUCAGUGAAUCAUCGAAUCUUUGAACGCAUCUUGCGCUCCUUGGUAUUCCGAGGAGCAUGCCUGUUUGAGUGUCAUUUGAACUCUCAAGACCAUGUUCAAUUCAUUGGACAGUGGCUUUGGACUUGGGGGCUGCAGGCUUUUUUUCCCUUUGAGAAAGGUCUGCUCCCCUGAAAUGCAUCAGUGGUAUCUGGAGCGGAAACCGCCAGGUGUGAUAACAUCAUCUAUGCCUUUGGUAUGCCGCGCAUUGUGCUGCUUCCAACGUGCCCAUUAUUGACAAACUUGACCUCAAAUCAGGUAGGACUACCCGCUGAACUUAAGCAUAUCAAUAAGCGGAGGA
rnacentral:misc_RNA from 1 species